GUGGGGAAUAUUGGGCAAUGGGCGAAAGCCUGACCCAGCAACGCCGCGUGAAGGAAGAAGGUCUUCGGAUCGUAAACUUCUAUCCUUGGUGAAGAUAAUGACGGUAGCCGAGAAGGAAGCCCCGGCUAACUACGUGCCAGCAGCCGCGGUAAUACGUAGGGGGCAAGCGUUGUCCGGAAUGAUUGGGCGUAAAGGGCGCGUAGGCGGCCCGGUAAGUCUGGAGUGAAAGUACUGCUUUUAAGGUGGGAAUUGCUUUGGAUACUGUCGGGCUUGAGUGCAGGAGAGGUAAGUGGAAUUCCCGGUGUAGCGGUGAAAUGCGUAGAGAUCGGGAGGAACACCAGUGGCGAAGGCGACUUACUGGACUGUAACUGACGCUGAGGCGCGAAAGUGUGGGGAGCAAACAGGAUUAGAAACCCCGGUAGUCC
rnacentral:rRNA from 1 species